ensembl:lncRNA
AGUGUGUUUUUCAUCUGGGUCAAGAGGACGCAGGCUUCCCACCUCCAAGUGGAGGUUGAAAUUGAUCCCAUGCAGGGCCCUGUGGGGCUCCUGGGCACAAGACCUUUCUGUGUCCCCCAUUUCUUUGAUUAUAGGAAACAGCCUUUAUUCAGCCCGCAUGACCUUUCCUGGGUUCCAAUGGGCAGAUUCAAGCCACUGUUAAUUAGGGAAGGAAGGGGAUGUGAGACCAGGGAGAAAGAGUCAAGAGCAGCUUUGAGGCAGGGUCCUGUUUCCCCAUCAAAGGAUACACACAACAGUAUCUCUGAGCUGCUCUACAGAUACUGAAACCCCCUCCAGGUGGGAGAAGUUAGUGAUUAAUGAUGGUAUGUUGCCCACAAGCUUGUAGACCCCACAUCAGUUGGACCUGAAAGUUGAUGAUGUGGACUCCUAUUUACCUCAGCACCAACCCACUGGAAGAAUGUCUACAUUGGCUACAAUGUCUACAGUCCAUGGAGUCACAGAGUCAGACAUGACUGAUCGACUAAGCACCUUAGCACGUUCUAAAAGGGCUUCCCUGGUGGCUCAGCAGUAAAGAAUCUGCCUGCAAUGCCCGAGACCCGGCUUCGAUCCCUGGGUUGAGAAGAUCCCCUAGAGGAGGGCAUGGCAACCGACUCCAAUACUCUGGCCUAGAGAAUCCCAUGGGCAGAGGCACCUGGCCGACUGUAGCCCAUAGGAUCACACAGAGUUGGACACGACUGAAGCAACUAAGCAGCAGCAGAAGGCCAAGGCUUCAGAGAGAAAUACUUAAUAAUUAGUAUGUUAAAUUUCAUGGGAUUUCUAAAAAUCUGAUAUAGGGAAGCCCUUCUCCUCAAGUUGGUUAUGAUUUACAACAGUUUGGUAAAUUAUACCUCUGCUUCCUUAUGCUGCUGCUGCUAAGUCUCUUCAGUUGUGUCCGACUCUGUGUGACCCCAUAGAUGGCAGCCCACCAGGCUCCCGCAUCCCUGGAAUUCUCCAGACAAGAACACUGGAGUGGGUUGCCAUUUCCUUCUCCAAUGCAUGAAAGUGAAAAGUGAAAGUGAAGUCGCUCAGUCAUGUCCGACUCUUAGCGACCCCAUGGACUGCAGCCUACCAGGCUCCUCCAUCCAUGGGAUUUUCCAGGCAAGAGUACUGGAGUGGGGUGCCAUUGCCUUCUCCGUCCCUUAUGCUGGGGACAAUUAAAUCAUACUAAGGACUAAUACUGCUAGCUAUGUUAUUUUUUAUUUUACCUGUUUUACAAAAGUAUUGUUUACCGCAUUAUCAGAUAUGUGACUGAGCCUCUGAUAAAAUAACGAUAUAUAGUUC